AAUCGGAGCUUCAGCUGCCAGCCUAUGCCACAACCAUAGCAACUCAGGAUCUGAGCCCCACCUGUGACCUAUACCACAGCUCACAGCAAUGCUGGAUCCUUAACCCACUGAGCGAGGCCAGGGGUUGAACCCGCGUCUUCAUGAAUGCUAGUCAGAUUCAUUUCCACUGAGCCAUGAUGGGAACUCCGUCGGUUUUCUCAUCUGUGGAAUGGGAGUGUUGAGAGCACCAAACCACUCACCCACCCCCGCCCCUGCCAAGGAUGAUGUGUCCAUUAAAUGAGAGCUAUGGAAAGUGUUGGCAUAAUGCCUGGUGCAGUGCCUGGCACAUAGACAAUACUAUUAGGAUAGUUAUUGUUAUGGUUGUUAUGGUGGUGGUCUGGUAAACAUUUGCUUCCUCUGGGGCCUGGAAGCCCCAUCACUAGGCUUUUUUCUGUCACAUCAUCAUCACAUGAAAAUGGGGGAUAUUGAAGAAAUCACCCCAGAGGAGAUUUCCUCCAGCUCCGCCCAGGAGAUGCACCCUUCCUGUAGUCUGGGGUUGGAGGGCUUCCGAGGCCCCUGGGUGACCACACCACGCAGAGGCUUCUGCAUCCCAUCCGGGCAGAUGGCGUCCCCUGGGUCCUUCGUUAAUUAUCCCACAGCAGAACCUCGCCACUUCCCAUUCUAAUACCCCGUAAUCGGCCAAGAAACCUUGCAAUUCGCUAUUUGGAAACAAUUAGCCCAGUUCACGGCCUCUGCAGCAUCAAUUAAUGUGGACGUGAACAUAAAUUAUGGGGAAGCAGGAACGGCCACCAGGGGAUGAGGUCACAGCAACCGUAAACCUCUGGCUCAGAUGAGGUUCCCUGGGAAGGGGGCUGACAGUGGGGGUCCUUCACCUUCCAUCAUACAGGUGGGGGCUGCUCUCCACUGGGAACCUCCAGGGACCCAGAGUCAGAAGCCUCUGGCCAGGGCCUCUGAGCUCAGGUUCAAGGGUGUGUGGGGGAGGUACCCUGGUCCUCCAGGGCACAGAUGGGCCACCUUGGCCAUCCCCCUGCCUCCACACAGGCUGCCCCAGCACCUCCUCAACCUAAGAGGAAGAUGCUGCAAACCCAUUGAUCUCUGGGUCUCAGUUUUUGGGGGACACUUGGGCCAAGACAGUACAGAUGCCCUUCACCCUCCCUGGGACAGGUUGAGGGUGAUUCCUGGAUUAGGACCUUUCUCAAGAAGUCCCAGCCCAACUCUUCAGGAAGCAAAUGCUCAGAGGCCAGGCAGACUCUGGCUUGAGUCCCAGCUUGGCCACGUAUUGGCCAUGUGACCAUGUACAUGUCUCUCGAUCUCUCCAAGCCUCAGUUUUCACAUCCACGAAGUGGGGAUCUAAAAACUCGAGCAGACAAAUGGGCUCAGCACAGUGGACUUUGGUCAGUGGGGGUUGCUAUUGGAGUAAAAGUUAACAGAAAAUAUAGGGCUCCCUUAUAGGGCUUCAGAGCAUCCCAGAAUGCUUUAAAACCACAGCCUCCAUGGAGCCUCCUGAAGGGUGACAAAAGGAAAUAGACCAUCAGGCAUUUCUAGGCUACAGGAGAAUCCACAUUCCAACUCGCUGACUGGCUCUCAGCGGGGCUGGGGGGUGGGGGGAGAGAAUGCUUACCGCCCAUUGCUGGGAGACAUCAGCUCUCCGUGAUUAGUGCCCAGCUUUCCCCAAGGCCAGGGCUUCAAGAGACGGCCAAGCACCAGGUUAAACACCGUGUAGGUAUGAUCUGACUUAAUCCUCACAAAGGCAAGAAGACAGAAGCCUCGAUCUUUUGGGAACCCAGUCUCAGAAGUGGCAUCCAUCACUUGAGCUGUGUUCUCUUCAUUAGAAGCAAAUCACUAGGUCCCAGCCACACUUGUAUGGGAGGGCUUCCAGGGAUGCGAGGGACAGCUAAAGGGAGGCAGGGGUCAUUGGGGUCAUGGUGUGGGUUGCCUACCCCAAAGGGACAGUGAGCAUCCUUACAUGUCCUGGGCACUGGAUUAAAUGCUUUGUGGUCAUCAUGCAUUCAAUCCCCACUAGGGCCCUGUGGGCUAAGUAUUACCCACCCCUUGGCAAGGGAUGAUCAGAACAAGGGAUCAUCUAACAGAGAAAGACAACUGUCCCCUUUAAAGAUGGGGUGCUGGUAGGCAGGAAAGGAGAAUGCAUACAAAGCGGCCAAAAAAAAAAAAAAGAGGUCUGCCAAAUACUGUUACUGUCCCUAUGUCAUGGGUAAGAAAGUCAAGGCUCAAAGGAGUUUGGUAACUUGCCCAGAAAUUGGGAGGAGCUGCUGCAAUUCAAACCGUGUUUUUAUCACUGGCUUCUCACCCCACAAAGGUCAGGCCACUGUCCUUUGGGUUCCAGCCACAGACUGUUUGUGCCGCCCAGAACAUGGGAAGUUGAACGUCUGAUUAAUGGGGUCAGGAAGCCAGCCUACUGGCUGGUCAAGGGAACGUUGCAAAUGACCCGUAAUUUGGUAAUGCGAUUUCCUUGCCUGGGGCAGAGUGCUCCCAGCCAACAGAAGCAAACUCCUUAGCCUCCCUGGCUGGGUCUCAUUGGAGGCUUGAAGGUGACUGGAGAAUUGUAGUCAGCCUUGUUUGCUCAGGUUAAAAUCAGGAGAGCCGAGCUGAUCCCAUUGGGAAGAAACUGCCAUGAACUAACUCCAAAGGUGGUCAAGCACAGUGGCGGCACCCAGGAGGCCCAGAGAAUGGUCUUGUCCCUUCCUGACCCCAAGGCAGCCUUCCAGGUGUGGCAGAGCUCACACCCAGGAGGGACGGGAACUUACACCCCAGGCAGGCCUGGCUCCCCUUCCCACCUCCGCCAAGACCUGACUGUAGGACCUCAGCAAGCCACAAAUCCCUGUAAGCCAGUUGCUAGCCUGCGAAGUGGAAGUGACGAUAAUCCAACCUUGCAGGGCCCUGUGAGGAUGAGACAAGCUAGGGCCUGUAGCACCCAUCGUAGCAUCUGUGCUGAGCCAACACUGGCUCUCCUUGGAGAGCGGGAUGGGCCAGGCAGAGGCCCGUCCUCCCAGUACUGGGCUCCCCGUGCUGGGCACAGACUUGGCUAAUCAAUUAGACGAUCGGAAUGCAACUGCUGGACAGGGUCAGGGCUCAAAAGAGGCAAAUUCAGACGUUGGAACCAUUCCCAGGUUUGGAGUCGUUAUGAAGUGGGUCAUGGCCAGAAUCCUGAAGAAACCUUUGGUCAGAAGAGUCAUCCACGGCAACUGGGUGUGUUUCAACCACCUUUAAAGAACACAGUGGCCCCAACACCUGGGCACUCUUUUCUUUAGUGGUGGUUUCCCUUCAGUUUGGCAGAGGGGAUGAAAUCCUCUCUGUCGAAGCUCAUGUCCACCAGUUUCCUAAGGACAGGGGAGGGGAAAUGCUGCCUGUGAGUUUGGGGGCUGCUGGCUGCAGAUGGUCAGAUAUUAAAUUCUCCACCACAUCCCAUCUGGUGGCUGCUCUGGCUGGCCAGAAGAAUUCCCCCAGGCCAGCUCUGGGCUCUGGCAAGCCAUUUUGCCCCAGCCCGACCCUCUGGUGACCCUCAGUCAGGACUGUGCUCAGCUUAUUAGCAGGGUCCGCCCCCUCCAGUCAAGCAUCCCCUCAUCUGCUGCCAAGGUGACCACCUCUGCUCUCCCCUCUACGUCUGCUCCCCCUUCUGAGUCUGCUCCCUCCUCCGAGACUGCUCUGCCCUCUGAGUCUGCUCCCCCUGCCCCCGCCCCGCUCCGAGUCUGCUCCCCAGAGCUGGAGCUGGAAGAACACAGCACUUGGCAGCAGAUCUACCAGGAGGCACGUCCUGGCUCCUCUGGGCCUUGGCCAGGACCCGAGGCUCCAUUUCCUCCUCUGAUUUUCCUACAUCCCCUGGCCAUGGGACUGGUGAAAUUGGGGACCACACAUGUAGAGGAGGGUCUGUCACCCUGGGCACUUUUGAUGUAUUGGUCUAGAUAAUUCUUCGGGGUGGGGGGCUGUCCUGUGCUUUGUAAGGCAUUAGGCACCAUCCUUGAGCUCCACCUGGAGAUGAUAGUAGCACCCCUCCCCCAGUUGUGACAACAAAAAUGUCUCCAGACAUGGCCACAUGUCCCCCGGGGGGGUCAGGCUGGCCCCCACAGAGAAUCACAGGUGUGCGUGUGUGAUGCCAUGCCUGGCAUGCAGUGAACCCUGCAUAGACAGAGGCUGAGUCUGACCAGCACCCGUUUUCUAAGUUCAAAGUGGUAGCAGUUUCGAACAACACUGCAGGCCCCGCGGUAAGUGCUCAGCAUAUGUUUGCUGUGCUUGUGGAUGUCUUGCCAGAGGCCCUUUCGAGUCCUUUGAAAGGAAGUUUUGAAAUCUGUGGUUCAACAAUCAUACAUCACACGUGUAAGGACAGCUUAGACCAGCCUGGGAGAUACAUGCAUGGGCCUGGUUCUUUUUUAUAUUUUUUAAUUGAUUUUAUUCACGUAGAGUUGAUUUACCAUAUUGUGUUAGUUUCUUGAGUACAGCAAAGCAACUCACUUGUAAUAUAUAUAUAUGUGUGUGUAUAUAUUUUUUCAUAUUCUUUUCCAUUAUGGUAUAUUACUGGAUAUUGAAUUUAGUCCUCUGUGCUUUGCAGUAGGACCUUGUUUAUCCAUCCUCUAUAUGAUGAUUUGCAUUUGCUAAUCCCAAACUCCCAAUCCAUCCCUUCCGCAUACCCCUCACACCUUGGCAACCACCAGUCUGUUCUCUAUGUCUGUGACUGUUUCUGUUUUGUUGCUAAAUUCAUUUGUGUCAUAUUUUAGAUUCUACAUGGAAAUAUCAUAUGGUAUUUGUCUUUCUCUGUCUGAUAAGCUCUAGUUGCGUCCACGUUGCUGCAAAUGGCAUUAUGUCAUCCUUUUUAUGGCUGAGUAAUCUUCCAUUGCGUAUAUGUACCACAUCUUCUUAAUCCAUUCAUCGGUUGAUGGGCAUUUAGGGUGCUUCUAUGUCUUGACUGUUGUAAAUAUUGCUGCUAUGAACAUUGGGGUGCAUGUAUCUUUUUGAAUUAUAGUUUUGUCCGGAUAUUUGCCCAGGAGUGGUUUUCCUGGAUCAUAGGACAACUCUAUUUUGAGCUUUUUGAGGACCCUCCAAACUGUUUCCCAUAGUGGCUGCACCAAUUUACAUUCUCUGGGCCCAGUUCUUAAGUAGGUGAGAGAAGGGGGCUGGGGGAGAAGGGGGGAUUAUCCUGGUAACUUGCCCGUGGGCACCAGUGUCACCACAGAGCAAUGUCGGCAGGGUACCCAGAGCACCGUGUGGGGAGGGGUUUCUGCUGCUCUGCCCGGAGCGUGGCUGCCCAGCUGGCAGGUCAGGAAAUAAGCACUGACACCUGCUGGAUCUUGAGGCUUGAGUGGGAUUUCUUUUAAUGCAAGGAGAGGAAGGGAAGUCCUGGCAGAGGGUACAGAAUUUUCCCUGCAGCUGGAAAAUUCUCAGCUUUUGAUUUACAGGUUAUCUGACAUUUGCGGGGGAAAUAUGCAAAAAGAGAAAGAGCAGCAGACUCCCUCUAUCCGGCCUUGCUGGGAGUGGCUCCUCUGGACGAGGCCAGCAGUGCCCCUAGGUGGGACAGCCCCUGCCAGGUUUCCAGGAGCCACAUCCUUUCUUUUUCAACCUCAUUAUCCCAGAACUAUUUGGAUCCUGCUCGGGGGAUUCUGCUGUACUAGGGUGGCCAAAGGUCCCAGUUCUCCCAGAGCUGAGGGAAUUUCCAGUACGUGGAAGUUUCAAUACUGAGAUCAGCAUCCCUGUCAAACCAGCACAGUAGGUCACCCUGCCUGUGGCCCCUUGGCUUGCUGGCUCUUUAUCCCACACCAUCCAGGGCUUCUACAGGCAAACCAGCCUCAGGGGGAUUCAGACCCACUUCCACCCGCCAGGCUCCUAAUCCCACUUAAAGGGCAGGAUCUGACCAGGUGGUCCAACAGCUGUUUUCCAGCUGCUGGGCAAAGCCCAUCUCUCUGAGGGGGGAGAAUCCAGGAACAGCUGGUGAGACGCAGAGAGGGAAAGGAGCUUGCUCAGGGCCACCCAGGGAGUCAGCAGCAGAGUGGGAACUGGAGGCCAGUCCUCUGGAUAAGCAGAAUCAUUUCCAUUUCCAUUUCAAUGUAAAGCAGACUAAU
rnacentral:lncRNA from 1 species